AGAUUAAGUUAUUAAGGGCGCACGGUGGAUGCCUUGGCACUAGAAGCCGACGAAGGACGUUACUAACGACGAUAUGCUUUGGGGAGCUGUAAGUAAGCUUUGAUCCAGAGAUUUCCGAAUGGGGAAACCCAGCACGAGUUAUGUCGUGUUAUCGAUAUGUGAAUACAUAGCAUAUCUGAAGGCAGACGCGGAGAACUGAAACAUCUUAGUACCCGCAGGAAGAGAAAGAAAAAUCGAUUCCCUGAGUAGCGGCGAGCGAAACGGGAAGAGCCCAAACCAACGAGCUUGCUUGUUGGGGUUGUAGGACACUCUAUACGGAGUUACAAAAGAACAGACUAGACGAAUCAUCUGGAAAGAUGAAUCAAAGAAGGUAAUAAUCCUGUAGUCGAAAGUUUGUUCACUCUUGAGUGGAUCCUGAGUACGACGGAACACGAGAAAUUCCGUCGGAAUCUGGGAGGACCAUCUCCCAAGGCUAAAUACUCUCUAGUGACCGAUAGUGAACCAGUACCGUGAGGGAAAGGUGAAAAGUACCCCGGAAGGGGAGUGAAAUAGAACUUGAAACCGUGUGCUUACAAGUAGUCAGAGCCCGUUAAUGGGUGAUGGCGUGCCUUUUGUAGAAUGAACCGGCGAGUUACGAUUUGAUGCAAGGUUAAGCAGUGAAUGUGGAGCCGUAGCGAAAGCGAGUCUGAAUAGGGCGUUGAGUAUUUGGUCGUAGACCCGAAACCAGGUGAUCUACCCAUGACCAGGUUGAAGUUCAGGUAACACUGAAUGGAGGACCGAACCGACUUACGUUGAAAAGUGAGCGGAUGAGUUGUGGGUAGCGGAGAAAUUCCAAUCGAACCUGGAGAUAGCUGGUUCUCUCCGAAAUAGCUUUAGGGCUAGCCUCAAGUGAUGAUUAUUGGAGGUAGAGCACUGUUUGGACGAGGGGCCCUUAUCGGGUUACCGAAUUCAGACAAACUCCGAAUGCCAAUCAAUUUAACUUGGGAGUCAGAACGCGGGUGAUAAGGUCCGUGUUCGAAAGGGAAACAGCCCAGACCACCAGCUAAGGUCCCAAAAUAUAUGUUAAGUGGAAAAGGAUGUGGCGUUGCCCAGACAACUAGGAUGUUGGCUUAGAAGCAGCCAUCAUUUAAAGAGUGCGUAAUAGCUCACUAGUCGAGUGACACUGCGCCGAAAAUGUACCGGGGCUAAACAUAUUACCGAAGCUGUGGAUUGUCCGUAAGGACAAUGGUAGGAGAGCGUUCUAAGGGCGUUGAAGCAUGAUCGCAAGGACAUGUGGAGCGCUUAGAAGUGAGAAUGCCGGUGUGAGUAGCGAAAGACGGGUGAGAAUCCCGUCCACCGAUUGACUAAGGUUUCCAGAGGAAGGCUCGUCCGCUCUGGGUUAGUCGGGUCCUAAGCUGAGGCCGAUAGGCGUAGGCGAUGGAUAACAGGUUGAUAUUCCUGUACCACCAUUAUUCGUUUUAAGCGAUGGGGGGACGCAGUAGGAUAGGCGAAGCGUACGAUUGGAUUGUACGUCCAAGCAGUGAGAUUGAGUGUUAGGCAAAUCCGGCACUCUUAAGAUUGAGCUGUGAUGGGGAGAGGAAAUUGUUUCCUCGAGUCGUUGAUUUCACACUGCCAAGAAAAGCCUCUAGCUAGAAUUGUGGUGCCCGUACCGCAAACCGACACAGGUAGUCAAGAUGAGAAUUCUAAGGUGAGCGAGCGAACUCUCGUUAAGGAACUCGGCAAAAUGACCCCGUAACUUCGGGAGAAGGGGUGCUCUUUAGGGUUAACGCCCAGGAGAGCCGCAGUGAAUAGGCCCAAGCGACUGUUUAUCAAAAACACAGGUCUCUGCUAAACCGUAAGGUGAUGUAUAGGGGCUGACGCCUGCCCGGUGCUGG
rnacentral:rRNA from 1 species